GAUGUAUUUAAUAACCGAUUAAACAUGUUAACUGUAGAACAUAACUUCUAAGUCUUUGGUUUUGUUGUAACACUGAUAAAUAACUUUUGGAAGGAGGUCCAGUAAGUUUUAAACCAACUGGCCCAGUGGGGCCGUUUGCAAAAAGGUUUAACAUUGAGCUCUGUAAAUAUCUGGAGCUGUUGUGGACGUUGAUGACACAGACAGUCCCUGCUACCCCUGUUUGCUGUUCCAUUCUUUCAUCCGUAAUCUUUGUCUUUGUAACUUUUAUCUUAGAGGUUUAGGGGGAGCAGGGAGAAGCAGGCCAGAUGAACAUAAUGUGUAAAUGUGUAUGAGAGGAAUGUAAUGUCCAUGUUUGAUGCUGGUCUGACCCCCCUCUCUUCUUUCAGGGUGGAGCCUGCUGGAGUCCGAUGGUUGAAACCAGGUCUGAGGAAGUAUUCCUGUGAACUCACACUCGACAUAAACACAGCAAAUCAAAAUACCAAGCUGUAUGACAACAACAGGAAGGCGACACAUGUGCGGGAGAAUCUGUAUAUCCUGAUCAUCCAUACAGGUUUGAAACCACUGGUCUCAGGUGAUGUGUACAACUGGUCUGACUGGUCGCUGUUACUGGGAGGUCGAGUGGACAGAAAAAGUUACUGUAGCAAUGAGUUACAGAGGAAUCAGCAAGAGGAGAAGCUCUGAAUACAAUUAUUUUGGAGGGAAUGAUAAGUCCUGGAGACUGGACUGCUCUACAGAUGGUUACUCUGCCUGGCACAAUAACAGAGGAACAUCCAUCACCUCCUCUGUCUCUAACAGAGUAGGAGUGUAUCUGGACUGGCCUGCUGGCUCUCUGUCCUUCUACGAGUCUCCUCUGACACACUGAUCCACCUCCACACCUUCAACGCCACAUUCACUGAACCUCUUUAUCCUGGCUUUGGGCUCUGGUUCAACCCUUAUUCUUCAGCGUCUCUGUAGGAGGGAGAAUCUGGUCCUGUUGGAGAACAGAUCAGUUGAGUCGUACAGGAUCACAGUUGCAGAGGUCUUUCAGGUUCUUCUUAUAAAUUCAUCAAUGAAUCAAAGUGAUUCCUCAUUUACAUUGUUAACAUCGUCCACUUCUGGUCCUUUAAAGAUAAAAGCUCUGAUCAUUAAAUGAUGGAAAUGAUGUUGACUUGUACCUUCUGCCCCUUUAAUAUCCUUCUGAUGUUUUUGAAUGUGGUUGUUUUAUCUUAACAUUUAUAAUUUUUUUGCUUGCUGUAUGUCAUAUCUAUAUAUCUCUAUAUCUAUAUAUCGAUCGAUCUAUCUAUAUAUCUAUAUCUAAAUAGCUAUAUGUAUAUAGCUGAGCAUGUGCUGUGUAUCAUAAAAGGGCUAAAUGUCCAAUUGUUAACAAAAUAAAGAAUGUCAGAGCUCUUCUUUAUUUGUAAAGAGACCAGUUUUUACAUUUUAGGCGGAUUUCAGAAUGAGGGACUGACUGAACCUGCAACAAGGGAUACAAUUGUCAGAAACUACUUUUGAUGAUGGUGUCAUUGUAAUUAACGUACAGUAAUAAGUGACAGUUAAAUACAGUAUUUUAGUUUUUUAGUUUUUACCUGUUAAGCCUUUCAGUACAGUAAUGUCUACUCUAUUACUGUAAAGUUUAAACAAAUCAAGUGCAAAUAUAAAUAAAUGUGUGUAUAAGCUGGUACAUGAUAGAAAAUUUAUUAUGUGUUAUUAUAUUAUUUGACAGAUUCUGAAGUUUGAUUACAUUCUGUUCUGAAAAUCCACCCUGAAUCCACCCUUCUGUUGGGAUCAGGAUUAUCCUGAUUAUUUUGGAUCAAAGGGAUCCCACCAACUAAAAACACAUACUGAAGGUUUGAUCCAGAUCAAAACAAAGUUAGGAUCAGGUGAUCUUUUUCUUUUGAACAACCCAUUUUCAAGAUUUGAUCCAAUCCAGUCACUUCUGAACAUCUGGGCCCGGCUGUCUGAAUGGGAGCAAAUCCCUGCAGCAGGUUCAACAUGUGCUGGAAAUCAGGUGUCCACAUACUUUUGGCCAUAUAGUGUAUUACAGCUUGAGACAUUUAGUCACUGUGUUUUGCCCUUAAAGUGUUUGCGGCCUUCACAUUUAUGAAACUGUGCAGAUUGUAGAAUUCUUGUGUUUUCAGCUCUAAUAAAACACUUUGUAAAGUAAA